GGACGAACGCUGGCGGCGUGCCUAAUACAUGCAAGUCGAACGGUCUUUCUAUGGAAGCUUGCUUCCACUGAGAAGAUAGUGGCGAACGGGUGAGUAACACGUGGGUAACCUGCCCAUAAGAGGGGGGAUAACAUCCGGAAACGGGUGCUAAUACCGCAUAGUUUUCUUGAUCGCAUGAUCGGGAAAGGAAAGACGGCCUUUGUGCUGUCGCUUAUGGAUGGACCCGCGGCGUAUUAGUUAGUUGGUGAGGUAACGGCUCACCAAGACGAUGAUACGUAGCCGACCUGAGAGGGUGAUCGGCCACAUUGGGACUGAGACACGGCCCAAACUCCUACGGGAGGCAGCAGUAGGGAAUCUUCCGCAAUGGACGAAAGUCUGACGGAGCAACGCCGCGUGAGUGAAGAAAGGUUUUCGGAUCGUAAAACUCUGUUGUCAGAGAAGAACAAGUUGGAGAGUAACUGCUCCAGCCUUGACGGUAUCUGACCAGAAAGCCACGGCUAACUACGUGCCAGCAGCGGC
rnacentral:rRNA from 1 species